AACAUUUCAGCACACAAAAUAAUCAAUGAAGCUAACCUUCUCCAUGUGAAGAGUUCUUUGCAAAUCAACAUUCGUCACACCAUAUUUCUUGGACAACUCUCUCAACCCUUCAUAAUUCACCCGGAUCUCAAAACCCAAAAUACAAUGAAGCAGCUCUUCAUUGGUAAAUCACCAAGAAGUGGUUCUUCAUGAGGAACAACCAAUUGAUGACCAUCCUGACACUCAAUGGUUCAGUUUAUAAGCAAAAAUUGGGGUGUAUCAAAUCAGCCAGGCUGUAAAGAAGAAUGAGGGGCAGUUUUCAGAUCUAGGGUGUAGGGCACACAACCUGUAAAGCAGAAUUAACAGCUGGUUU
rnacentral:lncRNA from 1 species